UACGUAGGGUGCGAGCGUUAAUCGGAAUUACUGGGCGUAAAGCGUGCGCAGGCGGUUUUGUAAGCCAGAUGUGAAAGCCCCGGGCUUAACCUGGGAAUGGCAUUUGGGACUGCAAGGCUGGAGUGUGGCAGAGGAGACUGGAAUUCCUGGUGUAGCAGUGAAAUGCGUAGAUAUCAGGAGGAAUACCGAUGGCGAAGGCAGGUCUCUGGGCUAACACUGACGCUCAUGCACGAAAGCGUGGGGAGCGAACAGG
rnacentral:rRNA from 1 species